rnacentral:rRNA from 1 species
GAGGUAGUGACGAAAAAUAACGAUACGGGACUCAUCCGAGGCCCCGUAAUCGGAAUGAGAACACUCUAAACACAUUUCCGAAAAUCAAUUGGAGGGUAAGUCUGGUGCCAGCAACCGCGGUAAGACCAGCUCCAAUAGCGUAUAUUAAAGUUGUUGCGGUUAAAAAGCUCGUAGUCGAAUCUGUGUCCCGCGCCGCUGGUUCAUCGCUCGCGGUGUUCAACUGGCGUGUCUCGCGGGACGUCCUGCCGGUGGGCCUCUGUGUCGUUUCGGCGGCACGUGUCCCUACUCGUUUCCGCCUUGUGCGGUUGCGGAUCCCAUCGCGGUGCUCUUUAUUGAGUGUCGAGGUGGGCCGGCACAUUUACUUUGAACAAAUUAGAGUGCUUAAAGCAGGCCAGUUAUGCCUGAAUAUUCUGUGCAUGGAAUAAUGGAAGAGGACCUCGGUUCUAUUUUGUUGGUUUUCGGAACCCCGAGGUAAUGAUUAAUAGGAACGGAUGGGGGCAUUCGUAUUGCGACGUUAGAGGUGAAAUUCUUGGAUCGUCGCAAGACGGACAUAAGCGAAAGCAUUUGCCAAAAACGCUUUCAUUGAUCAAGAACGAAAGUUAGAGGUUCGAAGGCGAUCAGAUACCGCCCUAGUUCUAACCAUAAACGAUGCCAGCUAGCGAUCCGCCGACGUUCCUCCGAUGACUCGGCGGGCAGCUUCCGGGAAACCAAAGCUUUUGGGUUCCGGGGGAAGUAUGGUUGCAAAGCUGAAACUUAAAGGAAUUGACGGAAGGGCACCACCAGGAGUGGAGCCUGCGGCUUAAUUUGACUCAACACGGGAAAACUUACCAGGUCCGGACACCGGAAGGAUUGACAGAUUGACAGCUCUUUCUUGAUUCGGUGGG